rnacentral:rRNA from 1 species
AUUGAACGCUGGCGGCAUGCUUUACACAUGCAAGUCGAACGGUAACAGGCCUUCGGGUGCUGACGAGUGGCGAACGGGAGAGUAAUGCAUCGGAACGUACCCAGAGGUGGGGGAUAACGCAGCGAAAUCUGUGCUAAUACCGCAUGUGAUCUGAGGAUGACAGCGGGGGACCGAGUAGCAAUGUUUUGCCUCGCGCCUUUAGAGCGGACGAUGUCGGAUUAGCUAGUAGGUAGGGUAAAGGCCUAAAAAGGCGACGAUCCGUAGCCGAUCUGCGAGGACGACCGGCCACACUGGGAAUGAGAAACGGCCCAGACUCCUACGGGAGGCAGCAGUAGGGAAUGUUCGGCAAUGGGGGAAACCCUGACCGAGCAACGCCGCGUGAAGGAAGAAGUAAUUCGUUAUGUAAACUUCUGUCAUAGAGGAAGAACGGGGGAUAUAGGGAAUGAUAGCCAAGUGACGGGACUCUAUAAGAAAGCCACGGCUAACUACGUG